UAUUUGCUUGUUCUUUAAGGUCUGUCUCCUCCUUGAGCUUACAGAGGAGCUGCUUUGUUUUGCACACUGUGUGCAGUGUCUAAACAGCACCUGACCCAGAUUAGGUCCUCCCAAUACAGUCUGGAGAACAGGAUCAGUAUCGCAAUGCCAUUUCAAAGAGAGCGCAUAUGCAUGCAACUGCAUACGCAUGAGCCCACACAAAGGAGUCUGCAAGGACACACUCUGAGGUGUUAAGAGAGAUUAUCUCCAGGUGGUAGAGUUAUUUGUAAUUAUAAUUUUAAAAUUUUUCUAUGUUUCCAAAAAAAGUAGGGAUCCCUUGUGUAACAAACAUAUUGAAAACAGAAAACUAAGUCACCCUUUAAAACUGAGCCCCAAAGAGGUUAAGUAAUUUGCCCAAGGUCACACAACUAUUAAGUGGUGGAGCUGGGAUUUGAACCUUGGCAGUCUGGCUCCUCUACACAAUACUCCCUUCCCCAUUCCAUAGGGCCAUCCUCUUUGGGGCCUUUUCCUAAAGAAUCUGUGCCUCAGCCAUGUUUUCCAAAAGCAGCCCUAUCAGAUAGGGGAAACAUGAAUAGUUCCAACCAUUCCUGGAGACACAUAAACCACUGUCAGCAAAACCAGAGGGCAUGAUGAGAUGGCAGAGCAAUUGAGGCUGCAGACCGGGGGUGUUGGAAGUAGGUUAGGGUAUACAGAGAAGAUGCUCGGCCUGUGCUCUCUGUGCUGCUUUCCUGGAGGGGAGGGAAGGAGAGCCUGCUCCCCUCAGCGCUGGAGGGCUGUCUGAGGAUGUGCUCUGGGCAGAUGCUGUGGGAGAACAGGUUUGGGGGGAACAGAGGGACUGGAGAGGACCCUGCCCCCAGCUAACUGGUGCACAACAGGAAACAAUGGCUGUUUUGACUUCCGUUUGUGGUACCAUCCCCACCUCCCCAGCAAGUAUGACAGUGUUAGAUCAUGGGGAGGGAGACAUAGGGGUGGAGUACCAGAAGAGAGACCUGGUGGUGGUGUUUCAGGCCCUUAUCUUAGGCCCUUAGCAGCUCCUUAUCUACAAGAAUGUUCUAGCAGCAGCAACGGUCAUACUGAUGCCUCCCAGCUGCACAGUGGCCCUGUACACACGUUCCUUCUCUCUGAAGUUCAGGCACUCAGGCUGCUGUGAACACCCUGAUGAUCUCCUGCAAGGUCUUCUCCAGUAUGGUGAGAUUCAUCAUUCAUCAAUGCGUGCAAAUGUAGUUCAUUUUCACUGCCAUCUUCAGAGAGGUAAGAGGAAACAGACUUCAAUGAAAGGGCUCCAUUGAUAGGCCACUGAGUGUCACCUGAAGUGGAGGAGACACAGGCUCUGCCAGGCCUGCCGGGACAAAGGAAGUGCUCAGAUGCCAGCUGUCCGGCCACUAGUUCCCCACAUGUGCCACAUGACAACAGAAAGAAGAAAGAAAAUCUACCCAUGGGCUGGGCCAGUCACUUUUCCAUGUUACAUAUAUUGUUCCAUUUAAGGCUCAUAUAAUUUGAAAGAGAUGGUGUCUCCAUAUGUUACUCAGGCUGGUCUCGAACUCCAGCCUCCAGCGAUCCUCCCAUACUGGCCUUCCAAAGUCCUGCGAUUACAGGUGUGAACCACCCUGCCCAGCCUUGUGCUUUUGUAUACAUUCUCAAAUUUCACCUUUGAGGUACCUAUGAGAUCUCCAAAUGGAGAUGUAGUUUAUUUCAAUAUAAGCCUGGAGUUCUUGGAGAGGUCAGGGAUGGAGAAACAAAGGUGGUGUCACCAGUGCACA